rnacentral:rRNA from 1 species
GAUGAACGCUGACAGAAUGCUUAACACAUGCAAGUCUUUGGCGAAGCUGUGCUUGCACAGCCUAGCCAAGGCGGACGGGUGAGUAACGCGUAAGGAACUUGCCCUGCAGUCAGGGAUAACAGACGGAAACGACUGAUAAGACCUGGUAAAGUCAGGCGGACUCAUGUCCAGCCUGAUGAAAAGUGAUGCUGCAGGAGAGCCUUGCGUCCUAUCAGCUUGUUGGUGGGGUAACGGCCCACCAAGGCGAUGAUAGGUAGCCGGCCUGAGAGGGUGGACGGCCACAAGGGGACUGAGAUACGGCCCUUACUCCUACGGGAGGCAGCAGUGGGGAAUAUUGGACAAUGGGGGCAACCCUGAUCCAGCAAUUCUGUGUGCACGAUGAAGGUUUUCGGAUUGUAAAGUGCUUUCAGCAGGGAAGAAAAAAAUGACGGUACCUGCAGAAGAAGCGACGGCUAAAUACGUG